rnacentral:rRNA from 1 species
UACGUAGGAGACGAGCGUUGUCCGGAAUUACUGGGCGUAAAGCGCGUGUAGGCGGAUGAGCAAGUUUGCUGUGAAAGCUCCUGGCUUAACCGGGAGUGGUCGGUGGAAACUGCUCGUCUGGAGGACGGUAGAGGUAGGUAGAAUUCCCGGUGUAGUGGUGAAAUGCGUAGAGAUCGGGAGGAAUACCUGUGGCGAAGGCGGCCUACUGGGCCGGACCUGACGCUGAGACGCGAAGGCGUGGGGAGCGAACGGG